UAUCCCAUAGUUGUGGGUCAUUUGUUGGCAAUAUGAUAUGACUAUAAAUAACCAACACAUUAGAACUCUUAGAUAUACAAGUACAUUAGUAAGCUAACAUACAUAUUGAGAUAAUUAACAAAUACAUUCAAUAUCUCAAUGUGUUACCUCUAGUAUGAUGAAACAUAAUCUCAUGGAUCCUUCUUGUUAUACCAUAUGUAUGCGAUAACAUGACAUUAUGAUAUCCAUGUUAAACCCCAUUCCUACAAGCACAUUUAUUUUGCAGUAAAUUAACAACAUAUGUUUCAACACCAUUUGACACCUAAAAUAUUGCAAAUUCAUCAUCUGAAUCCCAUGUUGCACUUCAUCCUUUAGUUGUCUCAUUUGUUUUAUCUAGGACUUGUUGGAUUUUAAGACUUAUGAUACUUUUAGACCUACCUAAAACAUAUUUUUGAGUGGCAAACCUCAAUUUUAUGCAAUAUUUAGUUCCUUCUAGCAGUGUAUUGAUUUACUUGUCUCUAUACUCCAAGAUUGCUUCAUUAAAAGCCUCACACAUAUUGUUAACUUGCAAGUCCCACUAUGUAUCUGUCUUGAAAUGAGACCUACUCUAGCAUGCAACAACUACAUCCAUAAUGUCUUUUCAAGCCUUCACAUUAAGCUUUUUCAUUUGAUUAACUGCUCUCUCCUACCCUAGUAUUGUUGUGGCCCUAUCUAUCAUCUAUAAAGCUUUCUUCAUCUCUAUCCUAAGAUAUUUCUUCCUCUAAUUGUCAUAAAAAUAUUUAAUAUAUAAUAUAUGUUCAACAUAUUAGAUUGUCUCUAGAAUAACUAAUAUCAAACUCUAAAGUAAAUUAACAUAUUGGAAACAUAAGGUUACAUAACAUAACUAAAGACUCGUGGCAACAUAAUGAAAAACACACGAUAAUAUAAUGAUAAAAUAUAUAUUUCAUUGAUAUGAGAUAAAACAUAAACCUUGUGUUGAAUGGAUUAUAAGUCAUUACUUCUUCAACAUUUAUUUCUUCAACCUCCUCAUUGGUGACUUAAGGUAUGUUAACAUUGUAUUCAAUAUAAACAUUAAUAACCUUACAUUCUAUAACAUCUUCAAUGAACCUUAACACAUCUUGAUGAUUAUUCAAAGGCUUAAGUCCACGAGCAAAAGAAAACUUAGGAUUCUAAUACCAUAUACACCUUAUAUUACUAUACCCCUUAAUUUUUAUCAUACAUUCAAUUUGCACACAGGACAUUAAGUUCAUAUACCAAUCUCAAUCCACUUCAAAAGCUUUUCCACCAACAUAUCAUUUUUAAGAUGAUGUAUCAAUUGACCCAUAUGACGCAUUCUAAGUCUAACAACUAGUUGAACACGAUAUAUAAUGCGAUUGUUGAAGACAAAAACAAUGUAGGAAAUCACGAAAAUGAACACAAAUUUGAAACUGAUGAUAAGUUAAGGCUUAAGAUUUUGUAUUUGGGGGAAGAAAAGGUUUUACAUCACCUGGAAUUUUGAAGUAUUAAAUUGAUAGGAUGAGUGUGGUAGCCCAACUGGUAUGUUCUAAUUGAAUUAUACAAGUGUAAACUGUUGGUAUAUGGUUCAAUCCCUAUACAACAUUUAUUUAUAUUUAU
rnacentral:lncRNA from 1 species